UCAGCUCCUCACAGGAUCUCUCUCUCUCUGUUGCUGAGAAAACCUUUCUAUUUCUCUAUUAUUUUCUUGGCAACCAAACAGAGUGCUUGACUUCUGUUGAUUUUGCUUUGUUUCAAAUUCACCAAGCAGGAUGGCAUAUUGUCUUAGAGCAUCCGACAAAGAUGAUGUUUUAGAUGCCAGUAGAACGUUGAGAAGGUGUGAAGUUGGUGAUGAUCUUGAUGAAGGCACGUAGCAAAUUAUUUAAUAAACCUUGAGAAGCAAAGGGCUUGGGCAAUUGUGACCUUUGAACAGAAAACUCCUGUGAUACUUGUUUCAUUGAGGGGCGGGAUUUGGG